GACAGAGGGUGCAAACGUUGUUCGGAAUUACUGGGCGUAAAGCGUGUGUAGGCGGCCGCGACAGUCGGAUGUGAAAGCCCUGGGACUCAACUCCAGGAAGUGCACCCGAUACUACGUGGCUCGAGUACCGGAGAGGUUGGUGGAAUUCUCGGUGUAGAGGUGAAAUUCGUAGAUAUCGAGAGGAACACCUGUGGCGAAGGCGGCCAACUGGACGAGUACUGACGCUGAGACACGAAAGCGUGGGGAGCAAACAGG
rnacentral:rRNA from 1 species